GUACUCACUUCAGCAGCAAAUAUACUAAAAUUGGAACAAUACAGAAAAGAUUAGCAUGGCCCCUGUGCAAGGAUGACAUGCAAAUUUGUGAAGCAGUUCAUAUUUUA
rnacentral:snRNA from 1 species